CUGUCUCCAGCAGAGGCUCAGUGAAAUCGAAAUCGCUGUGAAGAUGCAGUGUACCCGCGGCUAGACGGAAAGACCCCGUGAACCUUUACUGCAGCUUGACACUGAACUUUGACCUUACUUGUGUAGGAUAGGUGGGAGGCUUUGAAGUUGGAACGCUAGUUCCAAUGGAGCCGUCCUUGAAAUACCACCCUGGUAAUGUUGAGGUUCUAACUCUGUCCCGUUAUCCGGGACGAGGACCGUGUCUGGUGGGUAGUUUGACUGGGGCGGUCUCCUCCUAAAGAGUAACGGAGGAGUACGAAGGUGCGCUCAGCGUGGUCGGAAAUCACGCGUAGAGUAUAAAGGCAAAAGCGCGCUUAACUGCGAGACCCACAAGUCGAGCAGGUACGAAAGUAGGUCUUAGUGAUCCGGUGGUUCUGUAUGGAAGGGCCAUCGCUCAACGGAUAAAAGGUACUCUGGGGAUAACAGGCUGAUACCGCCCAAGAGUUCAUAUCGACGGCGGUGUUUGGCACCUCGAUGUCGGCUCAUCUCAUCCUGGGGCUGAAGCAGGUCCCAAGGGUAUGGCUGUUCGCCAUUUAAAGAGGUACGCGAGCUGGGUUUAGAACGUCGUGAGACAGUUCGGUCCCUAUCUACCGUGGGCGCUGGAAAUUUGAGAGGAUCUGCUCCUAGUACGAGAGGACCAGAGUGGACGAACCUCUGGUGUACCGGUUGUGACGCCAGUCGCAUCGCCGGGUAGCUAUGUUCGGAAGGGAUAACCGCUGAAAGCAUCUAAGCGGGAAGCCUACCUCAAGAUAAGAUUUCCCUAGGAAUUUAUUCCUCUAAAGAGCCGUUCGAGACUAGGACGUUGAUAGGUUGGAUGUGGAAGCAUAGUGAUAUGUGAAGCUGACCAAUACUAAUUGCUCGUGAGGCUUGACUAUACAACACCCAAGCAGUUG
rnacentral:rRNA from 1 species